GAUGAACGCUGGCGGCGUGCCUAAUACAUGCAAGUCGAGCGGCAGCGAGUUCCUCACCGAGGCUCGGAACCGAUUACCGAUUAGCAAUUAGCGAUGAACGAUGGAUUACCGAUUAGCAAUUAGCGAAUAUUUCGUUAAUUGGUUAAUGGGUAAUUGUUAAUUCAUUGCAAAUUGAGAAUCGUUAAUUGAUAAUUUCCGAUCUUUAGUGAGGAAUGUCGGCGAGCGGCGGACGGCUGAGUAACACGUAGGAACGUACCCCAAACUGAGGGAUAAGCACCAGAAAUGGUGUCUAAUACCGCAUGUGCUCUAAGGAGUAAAGCUUCGGCGGUUUGGGAACGGCCUGCGCAUGAUUAGCUUGUUGGUAAGGUAAUGGCUUACCAAGGCGACGAUCAUUAGCUGGUCUGAGAGGAUGAUCAGCCAGACUGGGACUGAGACACGGCCCAGACUCCUACGGGAGGCAGCAGUAGGGAAUAUUCGGCCAAUGCGCG
rnacentral:rRNA from 1 species